GCCUGACGUCCAAGUGCGCCAUCCCACUGUCUGCUCCGGCGGCACCACCCCCGAGGCCCUCCACGCGCGCACGCAGGAGCCGGAAAUCCGGAACACGUGACCAGGUGACAGCGCUCGCGCGGCGCUCGCUUGAGGUGCUGCGGCACGGGAUGGCGGAGGCGCCUCCGGUCUCAGGCACUUUUAAAUUUAAUACAGAUGCUGCUGAGUUCAUUCCUCAGGAGAGAAAAAAUUCUGGUCUAAAUUGUGGGACUGAAAGAAGACUAGACUCUAAUAGGAUUAGCAGAAGAAAUUAUAGUUCCUCACCUCUCUGUCACCUUCCUAGACAGGUCCCUUAUGAUGAUAUCUCUACUAUUCAUCAGCAUAACUAUGACUCUGGAAGCAAACCUAAGAGUCAGCAGCUUUUCUUCCAGUCAUCUAAUAAAUCCCUCAGAAACCAUGGCUUUCCAAACCAGCCAUGGCAGAGAUUAAGGAAUGAGAAGCUCCAGAACAGAGUCAAGAAAGCACAAGGGCUCACUGAGCAGACAUCAGACACAUCGAGUUUAGAAAGUGUAGCCAGAUCAGAGAGUGGCGCACCUCCUAGAGAGCACAGCCCUCCGGAGAGUGAGAAGGAGGUGGUCAUUGCAGAUCCCAGGGGAGCCAAACCCAAGAAGGCAGCACAGCUUACCUACAGCUAUGGCAGAGGACCAAAAGCCAAAGGGAAACCCAAGUGUGAGUGGGGUAACAGAAUGAGUCCUAAGUCUGAGGAUGAAAGUACCAGGCCUGUGGGGAUUUCCCACACUGACUCUUCAGAUGCUUCCUGUAGAAAAGCUGUAGUGGAUGGAUAUGUGUCCAGACGGAAUGAGCAGAGAAGAUUCCUGCAGAAGAGGCCUCCUUGGGAAGUGGAGGGGGCCAGACCACGACCAGGCAGGAACCCACCCAAACAGGAGAGUCAGCGACAAAUAAAUGCAGGGCCCAAAAACAGCAUGCCCCCCAUUCCAAAGGAUAAUCUCAGAGAAAGACCAGCAAAGUCAGCCUGUGACACUGGGAAUUUGUCAGGUGUCAACAAGUCUUCCAGAAGGGUUAACCAAGAGAAAAAUGCUGUCAGGAGACAGGAGCCUCAAGGGCUGUCUCCCUUCCCCAGAGGCAAACAGAGCCAUGUGCUGAAGAAUGUGGAAACACACACAGGUUCCCUAAUUGAGCAACUAACUACAGAAAAAUAUGAGUGUAUGGUGUGCUGUGAACUGGUUCAAGUUACAGCCCCAGUGUGGAGCUGUCAGAGCUGUUUUCACGUCUUCCAUUUGAACUGCAUAAAGAAAUGGGCCCGGUCUCCAGCAUCUCAUGCAGAUGGCCAGAGUGGUUGGCGGUGCCCUGCUUGUCAGAAUGUUUCUGCACAUGUUCCUAACACGUAUACUUGUUUCUGUGGCAAAGUGAAGAAUCCUGAAUGGAGCAGAAAUGAAAUCCCACAUAGUUGUGGUGAGGUUUGUAGAAAGAAACAGCCUGGCCAGGACUGUCCACAUUCCUGUAACCUUCUCUGCCAUCCUGGACCCUGCCCACCCUGUCCUGCUUUUACGACUAAAACUUGUGAAUGUGGACGGACCAGGCACACAGUUCGCUGUGGCCAGGCUGUCUCUGUCCACUGUUCUAAUGCAUGUGAGAAUAUUCUGAACUGUGGCCAGCACCACUGUGCUGAGCUGUGCCAUGGGGGUCAAUGCCAGCCUUGCCGAAUCAUACUGAACCAGGUGUGCUACUGUGGCAGCACCUCCCGGGACAUGUUAUGUGGAACAGAUGUGGGGAAGUCUGAUGGAUAUGGGGACUUCAGCUGUUUAAAGAUAUGUGGCAAGGACUUGAAAUGUGGGAGCCAUACCUGUUCUCAAGUGUGCCACCCACAGCCCUGUCAGCCUUGCCCACGCCUCCCCCAUUUGGUGCGAUGUUGCCCUUGUGGCCAAACCCCUCUUAGCCAGUUGCUGGAACUUGGAAGUAAUGGUCGGAAAACAUGCAUGGACCCUGUCCCUUCGUGUGGAAAAGUGUGUGGCAAACCCUUGUCCUGUGGCUCCUCAGAUUUCAUUCAUACCUGUGAAAAGCUCUGUCAUGAAGGAGACUGUGGGCCAUGCUCUCGCACAUCAGUUAUUUCCUGUAGAUGCUCUUUCAAAACCAAGGAGCUUCCAUGUACCAGUCUUAAAAGUGAAGAUGCUACAUUUAUGUGUGACAAGCGGUGUAACAAGAAACGAUUGUGUGGACGACAUAAAUGUAACGAGAUCUGCUGUGUGGACAAGGAGCACAAGUGUCCUUUGAUUUGUGGGAGGAAACUCCGUUGUGGCCUUCAUCGGUGUGAGGAACCUUGUCAUCGAGGGAACUGUCAGACCUGCUGGCAAGCCAGUUUUGAUGAGUUAACCUGCCACUGUGGUGCCUCUGUGAUCUACCCACCAGUUCCCUGUGGGACUAGACCUCCUGAGUGUACCCAAGCUUGUGCCAGGAGCCAUGAAUGUGACCAUCCAGUAUAUCAUUCUUGUCAUAGUGAAGAGAAAUGUCCCCCUUGUACUUUCUUAACUCAGAAGUGGUGCAUGGGCAAGCAUGAGUUACGAAACAACAUCCCCUGUCACCUGGUUGAUAUCUCUUGCGGAUUACCCUGCAGUGCCAUGCUACCCUGUGGGAUGCACAAAUGUCAAAGACUCUGUCACAAAGGAGACUGUCUUGUGGAUGAGGCCUGCAAGCAGCCCUGUACCACACCCAGAGCUGACUGUGGCCACCCCUGUAUGGCACCCUGCCACCCCAGUUUACCCUGCCCUGCGUCAGCUUGUAAGGCCAAGGUGGAGUUACAGUGUGGAUGUGGGAGAAGAAAGGAGAUGGUGAUGUGCUCUGAGGCGUCCGGUACUUAUCAGAGAAUAACUGCUAUUUCUAUGGCCUCUAAAAUAACAGACAUGCAUCUUGGAGACUCAGUGGAGAUCAACAAGUUCAUUACCAAGAAAGAAGUACAGCGAGCCAGGCUGCAGUGUGAUGAGGAGUGCUCUGCCUUGGAAAGAAAGAAGAGGUUGGCAGAGGCAUUUGACAUCAGUGAUGAUUCUGAUCCUUUCAAUUUGCGUUCUUCAGCAUCAAAGUUCAGUGACAGUUUGAAAGAUGAUGCCAGGAAAGACUUAAAGUUUAUCAGUGACGUUGAGAAGGAAAUGGAAACACUUGUGGAGGCCGUGAAUAAGGGAAAGAAUACUAAGAAAAGCUACAGCUUCCCUCCUAUGAACAGGGACCACCGCCGCAUCAUUCAUGACCUGGCCCAGGUUUAUGGCCUGGAGAGUGUGAGCUAUGACAGUGAACCAAAGAGAAAUGUUGUGGUCACUGCCAUCAGAGGGAAGUCCAUUUGUCCUCCUACCACACUGACCAGUGUGCUCGACAGAGAAAUGCAGACACGGCCUCCACCACCGAUUCCUCAUCACCGACACCAGACAGACAAGACUCCCGGGAGCAGUAAUUUACAGAAGAUAUCGAAGGAGCCAGUGAUCGACUACUUUGAUGUCCAGGACUGAGAAGAUAGAUACACUCAGAUAAAAGAAUGAUUCUAUGUAGUGGAGACUCAUUUGCCAGCAGAUAUAUCAUGCCCAUUGUUCUUGUGUGGCAGAACCCCAGCACACAUGCUGUCUUGUGCUGAUACAUCCAUAGCAUGAGUGUGUCAGAACCCCCUUCUUGGCUCCUAUCCCAAGUAUCUCGCUGUGGCCAGAUUUCUGGCUAUGUGGCCACAGGAUUCCUAGUCAGAUGUUUGAAGAGGCUCCUCACACCACCAUGGAGAGGUUGGGGAGUAUAGUAUUUAUUUGGAUAAACCAGGAUUUUUAUUCCGAACUGGCUUGUGGCACCUAGCUGUAGUCUUAGUUAUCCCAGUUGUUCUCCUGGUGUACCUCAGUUUCCUCAUGUAGGAAGACACAUGAACUACUGACCAUCGGGAAACCACGUUGGUAAUCAUACGUCUUAAACAUAGCCAUCUUACCUAGACUUGGCUGAAAGCUCCCAUGUCUCUCUAGACUGGUGAGGUUUUAUAGAAUUCCAUUUUCUCGAGUCCCUGGCAUUUUACCGCAUUACCAUGUCUACAGGGACAGUUCAACUGUCUCCCAUAAUGGUGAGAACUUGGAGCAACUUCUUCUACCACAUUCACACUGCCAUCGGCACCACACGGACUCUCCCUACACCUGAGCUCUGAAUUGUGUGGACAGUGCAGAGCUUAUGCCAAGCAGCUUACUGUCUGGAUUCUUCAGCUUCCUUCCUUUAAGGCAGCUGUGUGGCCAUCCGUAUUGGCCCCUCUUCAUUGCAAGCUAGACUUCUUUUUUGUUACUGUUACUUGGUUUUUUCAAGGCAAGGUUUCUCUAUGUAGCCCUGGAUGUCCCAGAACUCACUCUGUAGAACAGUCUAGCCCUGAACUUAGAGAUCCGCCUGCCUCUGUCUCCCAAGUGGUGGGGAGUAAAGGUGUUUGCCACCACUGUCUGGCUUCUUUUUGCUUUAAAAUAAAUUUUGAGCCCCCAGAAACUUGGAUCAUAAAACAAGACACUUAAUUUUCACCUUUUUUAUUUUAUUUUUUAUUUUAUUUUAUUUUAUAUUUUAUUUGAGACAGGAUCUCACUAAAUUGCUUAAGCCCAUUCAGAUCUUAAACUCUCAGCCUCCUGAGUGCUAGGAGCACAGGCCUCUAUCCCAAACCCAUUGGAGAUACUCAAUUUUAUAGGAAAAGCUAGGCUUCUCUUUGGUCCUAACUACAGUCUGUGUGGGAAUCAUGAGGAUGUAACGGCUGAGGUGACAGGAGAGAAGUGAUGGAAACAACAAAGCCUCUCUGGGCCUGUUCAGUACAGGGUCUGAGCCAACACCCAACAGGAAGUCCGUGUGCAGCUGCCGUCCAGGCUAAGUGAGUGCUCUGGCUGUGUGUGCCCCUCAGGAAAUCGAGAGGCAAAUCUGACUUCAUAUUCUAGCCCUGCCAUUUGACAGGGUGGGGGCUCUCCCUGCCUAGCCUGAGAUGGGAGGGUUAAAGGAACCACAGAUGACACACAGGCCUGGAAAGUGUAUGUCUACAACACUAACCAAGUAAAGAAUGUGAUGCCAGUUGGGCCUCUCCUGAUAAACAGAUGGCCUUGUCCCAGUCUCAUGGUGGGACUGGUAAAACACAUGUGCUUGAGGAAGGAUUAAUUGUCCAAAGUAGGCAGAAAAUGGUGAUGAGGCUUGAGGCUAACAGCAAUGUGCUAAGUCAUGGGCAAACCUAAGCAGGGUAGCAAGGCUGCAUUUAUGAUCUGUAUCAGCAGUCCACAGAUGUUUUCCAGAAGAUGCCAAAGUAAAUACUUUUUUAAAUAUAAAGUUUAUUAUCAAAAGAAACUUGCAAAUAAAAAUAUAACACCAAAAUUUUCCAGAUCCAAAGCCUGUAGAACUCAGUGAACUUUUGUACAGUUGGAAUAGGCGUUUGGAACAAAAACUUUGGGGCUUCACAUUAAACUACACUCGAUGGGUGUGGUGGCACGCACCUGUAAUUUCAGCACUCAGAGGGGCAGAUGAAGGCAGAUCUUUGUGAGUUGGAGGCCAGCCUGGUCUA